rnacentral:rRNA from 1 species
UACGUAGGGCGCAAGCGUUAUCCGGAAUUAUUGGGCGUAAAGAGCUCGUAGGCGGUUUGCCGCGUCUGCCGUGAAAGUCCGAGGCUCAACCUCGGAUCUGCGGUGGGUACGGGCAGACUAGAGUGAUGUAGGGGAGACUGGAAUUCCUGGUGUAGCGGUGAAAUGCGCAGAUAUCAGGAGGAACACCGAUGGCGAAGGCAGGUCUCUGGGCAUUAACUGACGCUGAGGAGCGAAAGCAUGGGGAGCGAACAGG